rnacentral:lncRNA from 1 species
UUGAAAGUUGAGGGGUGGUGAGUGGGUGAGAGGUGGCGGGUGGUGAGGUGAAGUAGUGGAGGGCUCGCGUUAAGGAUGGCGCAUAGGAGGUGGCAGAUGAGGAAGAGGAGCGGUUGAGAAGGAGGACACGGUAAAGAGACAUCAGUAUCGGUAUUGGUGUGGCAAUGGCGGAAUGGAUGGAUGAAAGAUUGAGAGAGGAGGGUUUUGGUUUGGGGUGUCGUAGGGCAGAGAGAGAGAGAGGAAGACUGUUGCGAAGGAGAAUUCACUUAAACCCUAGAGAAUUCGCUUACCUUUAAUUGGUAUCGAACUAUGCCUAACCUAAACUACGCUUCAGAAACAGUUACCCCAUGAGUUAUUUUGUCACCAAAAAUAACUUCUUUAAGAACACUUACAAAGUCCACUUUGUAGCUUCCUAUCAACUUUGGAGUGACAAGACCACUAAUUACACCUAGGCUAAUCACCACCAAAGCCUAGCUCUCUGCUAGACUUCACACUCCAUUUUACACAAUCAUUGAAUCCUUACUUUCCUCUCCAGGAAGUAAGGGAAACACAAGCUUGAAAUAAUAUAUAGGCAACUUUUCUUUUGUUUCUCAAAGUGUGGUGGCUAUUCGGAGAUACCGUAUUCAACUCCUAUACAGCUCAAAACGUUUCAGUUCUCCUUCUCAUAAACUAGUCCUUGUAGUUGCCUAAACUACAGUCAGUGGUUACUUCUCUGUUCAAACGGAUGUUGAUUCUUUUCUUACCGUUAGUUGAUUUCCUCCAGGUGACAAUUUGUCAGCCAAAACACAUAUCUCAGCAGACUUGACAAAAAAAUAAACAUGUACAAGAAAGCCAUAACAAUAGGAUGAUGGGAAGAGACCUUAUUUACAGCUGCAACAAUGUUUGAAUAAUCUACCAACACCAAAAACACUAUGCACAAUCAGGCAGAUGCCAUUCUCAACACUCCAGAUGACCAAUUCCCAUUCAUUCUGCACACUCUCUCUCUCUCUGGUCCCAACCAUAAUCUCCGCCUCCACUGUCAAAUCAGAGCCUCAACUAUGUGCUGAAAAGAAACCUCUUCUUCUGUCUUCUGGAAAGUGUACAUGAAAAAUUAAAGAAACUUCGGAUGUCAUGAUUUGAUAGUAUGAUUCGCUAAGGCAGUAUGAUUCGCCAAUGACUGAUACAGGUCGAUCCAACACUUGUCGUGCUCUACUGCAUUUUCCCAUCUCUUGUUGAAUAUCCUCAUUUCUAUUAGAGAUUGCAUCCUCACCUGCGCGCAUUCUAUUAGUCUCUGUACCUAUGGCUAUUGUAGACCCUGAAAACCCCAAUUUAACUGUUUAUUCACAUCUUACUUCAGGUCUGUUAUCAACUUACUCAAGGGACUUGGAUUGUGCCUGCAAUGCCGAAACACGGAUGGAGACUCUCAACACGUGUUUAAUGGAGAAUCUCUUCUAGUUAUAAUUUUAUUAGGUAGAAGAGCUACUUGUACUUGCCUGAGUUUUGUUGAAGACACCAAGUGUGGGCAAGCCAAGGUGUACUAUGUACUCAGAAUCGACCACACCGACAUUUUUCGCCCUGUCACCCCGAACAACAGACUAAAAAAUUCGAUCAAGCCUUUAGUCAAAUGUCUAUACGUAACAGGGGAAGGACUAAAGGGUGCAUUUGCAAUUAUAUGCUUGUAAACCUCAAGCCCUGUAUCAACUCUCCCUUCAUCACAGUGCGCGUUGAUCACAUUAUUAUAAGAGACGACAUUAGGCACUAUAUCAUUUUGCUCGAAGAAGUACUUAAACAAAGCAAUGGCGUCACUGUACCUGCACUACAAAUGAAGUAGCAGGAAUUAGAUACCAAACCGAAUCAUCAUCACAAGCAAAGAAUUAACAGUAAAGCAGAAAACUUUACCGUUUAGCUCGAUACAUAGCAGCUAUAAUCGCAUUACAUGUGAAGACAGUGGGCCUAGUUCUGGAGAAAACAGCGGUGCGAGCGAGGUAAGAAGCAGCAUCAAGAUCAAAGGCUCUAAUAAGCGACUGGACAUUGUUAUGCAAGCUAAGUCGAGGGCCAACAAGAGCUGAAGUGGAAUCGGGAAGACGGGGAGCAUUGGGAUCCCGAGGAGGAGGGUAAGGGUUACGCUGAAGAGCGUGCAGCGGAGGUUCGAUGCGGAGGCGCCGUUUCCGCCGGCGGCGUUCAGCGGCAGCUUCUUCAGCGGAGGAGAAGGCAAAACUUCGUCGCGAUGAAGGGAUUGAAAGUUGAGGAGCGGGAAUUAGGGAAGCGGUGAUGGGUGGUGAGGUGAAGUAGUGGAGGGCUCGCGUUAAGGAUGGCGCAUAGGAGGUGGCAGAUGAGGAAGAGGAGCGGUUGAGAAGGAGGACACGGUAAAGAGACAUCAGUAUCGGUAUUGGUGUGGCAAUGGCGGAAUGGAUGGAUGAAAAAGAGAAGGGUUUUGGGCUUGGGGGUGUCUCAGAGCAGAGAGAGGAGAGGAAGACUGUUGCGAGGGAGAAUUCGCUUAAAC